rnacentral:rRNA from 1 species
ACGGGAGGCAGCAGUGGGGAAUAUUGCACAAUGGGGGAAACCCUGAUGCAGCGACGCCGCGUGAGUGGAGAAGUAUUUCGGUAUGUAAAGCUCUAUCAGCAGGGACGAAAAUGACGGUACCUGACUAAGAAGCCCCGGCUAACUACGUGCCAGCAGCCGCGGUAAUACGUAGGGGGCAAGCGUUAUCCGGAUUUACUGGGUGUAAAGGGAGCGUAGACGGUCCGGCAAGUCUGAUGUGAAAUCCCAGGGCUUAACCCUGGGACUGCAUUGGAAACUGUUGGACUAGAGUGCAGGAGAGGUAAGGGGAAUUCCUAGUGUAGCGGUGAAAUGCGUAGAUAUUAGGAGGAACACCAGUGGCGAAGGCGGCUUACUGGACGGUAACUGACGUUGAGGCUCGAAAGCGUGGGGAGCAAACAGGAUUAGAUACCCUGGUA